AGAUUAAGUUAUUAAGGGCGCACGGUGGAUGCCUUGGCACUAGAAGCCGAUGAAGGACGUUACUAACGACGAUAUGCUUUGGGGAGCUGUAAGUAAGCUUUGAUCCAGAGAUUUCCGAAUGGGGAAACCCAGCAUGAGUUAUGUCAUGUUAUCGAUAUGUGAAUACAUAGCAUAUCAGAAGGCACACCCGGAGAACUGAAACAUCUUAGUACCCGGAGGAAGAGAAAGAAAAUUCGAUUCCCUUAGUAGCGGCGAGCGAAACGGGAAGAGCCCAAACCAACAAGCUUGCUUGUUGGGGUUGUAGGACACUCUAUACGGAGUUACAAAGGACGACAUUAGACGAAUCAUCUGGAAAGAUGAAUCAAAGAAGGUAAUAAUCCUGUAGUCGAAAAUGUUGUCUCUCUUGAGUGGAUCCUGAGUACGACGGAGCACGUGAAAUUCCGUCGGAAUCUGGGAGGACCAUCUCCUAAGGCUAAAUACUCUCUAGUGACCGAUAGUGAACCAGUACCGUGAGGGAAAGGUGAAAAGCCCCCCGGAAGGGGAGUGAAAUAGAACCUGAAACCGUGUGCUUACAAGUAGUCAGAGCCCGUUAAUGGGUGAUGGCGUGCCUUUUGUAGAAUGAACCGGCGAGUUACGAUUUGAUGCAAGGUUAAGCAGUAAAUGUGGAGCCGUAGCGAAAGCGAGUCUGAAUAGGGCGUUUAGUAUUUGGUCGUAGACCCGAAACCAGGUGAUCUACCCUUGGUCAGGUUGAAGUUCA
rnacentral:rRNA from 1 species